AGAGUUUGAUCCUGGCUCAGGACGAACGCUGGCGGCACGCUUAACACAUGCAAGUCGAACGAGAGAAGAGGAGCUUGCUUUUCUGAUCUAGUGGCGGACGGGUGAGUAACACGUGAGCAAUCUGCCUUUCAGAGGGGGAUACCGAUUGGAAACGAUCGUUAAUACCGCAUAACAUAAUUGAACCGCAUGAUUUGAUUAUCAAAGAUUUAUCGCUGAAAGAUGAGCUCGCGUCUGAUUAGCUAGUUGGUAAGGUAACGGCUUACCAAGGCGACGAUCAGUAGCCGGACUGAGAGGUUGAUCGGCCACAUUGGGACUGAGACACGGCCCAGACUCCUACGGGAGGCAGCAGUGGGGAAUAUUGCACAAUGGAGGAAACUCUGAUGCAGCGAUGCCGCGUGAGGGAAGAAGGUUUUAGGAUUGUAAACCUCUGUCUUCAGGGACGAAAAAAGACGGUACCUGAGGAGGAAGCUCCGGCUAACUACGUGCCAGCAGCCGCGGUAAUACGUAGGGAGCGAGCGUUGUCCGGAAUUACUGGGUGUAAAGGGAGCGUAGGCGGGAUCGCAAGUCAGAUGUGAAAACUAUGGGCUUAACCCAUAAACUGCAUUUGAAACUGUGGUUCUUGAGUGAAGUAGAGGUAAGCGGAAUUCCUAGUGUAGCGGUGAAAUGCGUAGAUAUUAGGAGGAACAUCAGUGGCGAAGGCGGCUUACUGGGCUUUAACUGACGCUGAGGCUCGAAAGCGUGGGGAGCAAACAGGAUUAGAUACCCUGGUAGUCCACGCCGUAAACGAUGAUUACUAGGUGUGGGGGGACUGACCCCUUCCGUGCCGCAGCAAACGCAACAAGUAAUCCACCUGGGGAGUACGACCGCAAGGUUGAAACUCAAAGGAAUUGACGGGGGCCCGCACAAGCAGUGGAGUAUGUGGAUUAAUUCGAAGCAACGCGAAGAACCUUACCAGGUCUUGACAUCGUAUGCAUAGCUCAGAGAUGAGUGAAAUCUCUUCGGAGACAUAUAGACAGGUGGUGCAUGGUUGUCGUCAGCUCGUGUCGUGAGAUGUUGGGUUAAGUCCCGCAACGAGCGCAACCCUUACUGUUAGUUGCUACGCAAGAGCACUCUAGCAGGACUGCCGUUGACAAAACGGAGGAAGGUGGGGAUGACGUCAAAUCAUCAUGCCCCUUAUGACCUGGGCCUCACACGUACUACAAUGGCUGUCAACAGAGGGAAGCAAAGCCGCGAGGUGGAGCGAACCCCUAAAAGCAGUCCUAGUUCGGAUUGUAGGCUGCAACCCGCCUACAUGAAGUCGGAAUUGCUAGUAAUCGCAGAUCAGCAUGCUGCGGUGAAUACGUUCCCGGGCCUUGUACACACCGCCCGUCACGCCAUGGGAGUCGGUAACACCCGAAGCCUGUAGUCUAACCGCAAGGAGGACGCAGUCGAAGGUGGGAUUGAUGACUGGGGUGAAGUCGUAACAAGGUA
rnacentral:rRNA from 1 species